GAUGAACGCUGGCGGCGUGCCUAAUACAUGCAAGUCGAGCGGUAACACUUCGGGUGACGAGCGGCGGACGGCAGAGUAACACGUAGGAACGUACCCCAAACUGAGGGAUAACUCCGAGAAAUCGGAGCUAAUACCGCAUGUGAUCUUCGGAUUAAAGCUUCGGCGGUUUGGGAACGGCCUGCGCAUGAUUAGUUAGUUGGUGAGGUAAAAGCUCACCAAGACGACGAUCAUUAGCUGGUCUGAGAGGAUGAUCAGCCUGACUGGGACUGAGACACGGCCCAGACUCCUACGGGAGGCAGCAGUAGGGAAUUUUCCACAAUGGGCGAAAGCCUGAUGGAGCAACGCCGCGUGCAGGAUGAAGGCCUUCGGGUUGUAAACUGCUUUUGUUUGUGACGAUUAUGACGGUAACAAGCGAAUAAGGGUCUGCUAACUACGUGCCAGCCGCCGCAGU
rnacentral:rRNA from 1 species